rnacentral:rRNA from 1 species
GACAGAGGUGCCGAGCGUUAGGCGGAAUCACUGGGCUUAAAGCGUGUGUAGGCGGGUCCGUAAGUACCUUGUGAAAUCCCAUGGCUCAACCAUGGAACUGCUUGGUAUACUGCGGAUCUUGAGCCACCUAGGGGCAAGUGGAACAAACGGUGGAGCGGUGAAAUGCGUAGAUAUCGUUUGGAACGCCAAUGGUGAAAACAACUUGCUGGGGUGUGCUGACGCUGAGACACGAAAGCCAGGGAGCAAACGGG